rnacentral:rRNA from 1 species
CACGUAGGCGGCAUGGUAAGUCAAAGGUGAAAGCCCUCGGCUCAACCGAGGAACUGCCCUUGAAACUGCUUUGCUUGAGUCCGGGAGGGGGGAGCGGAAUUCCCAGUGUAGCGGUGAAAUGCGUAGAUACUGGGAGGAGCACCGGUGGCGAAGGCGGCUCCCUGGACCGGUACUGACGCUGAGGUGCGAAAGCGUGGGUAGCAAACA